AUAAACAUGCAACAGCCGAACUGCGUCUCAAAAGCCCCCUCCUCAUCAUCAAACUCAACCCUCUUCUUUUAAAUAUCAAGCUCGAAGAGCCUCGCAAAACCAUCAACAUCAAUCAUGCCUCCAAAUGUGCGCUCGAUCCAGUGAAACUUAGAAAGCGUCACGAAGGCAUUAGGUGUAAGCUGAUGAAGAUUAGCACCAUAUCUAUCCAAAAUCUGAGGCAACAUCUUAUCACAAGGAAACCGCAUGCCGG
rnacentral:lncRNA from 1 species